GUCGGCUGCUUUGUUGAGCC
rnacentral:siRNA from 1 species